rnacentral:rRNA from 1 species
UACGUAGGGCGCAAGCGUUGUCCGGAAUUAUUGGGCGUAAAGAGCUCGUAGGCGGCUUGUCACGUCGGUUGUGAAAGCCCGGGGCUUAACCCCGGGUCUGCAGUCGAUACGGGCAGGCUAGAGUGUGGUAGGGGAGAUCGGAAUUCCUGGUGUAGCGGUGAAAUGCGCAGAUAUCAGGAGGAACACCGGUGGCGAAGGCGGAUCUCUGGGCCAUUACUGACGCUGAGGAGCGAAAGCGUGGGGAGCGAGCAGG